rnacentral:misc_RNA from 1 species
UCCGGUUUGUCACCGGCAGUCUCCCUAGAGUGCCGCCUUGCGGCCUGGCAACUAAAGAUAAGGGUUGCGCUCGUUGCGGGACUUAACCCAACAUCUCACGACACGAGCUGACGACAGCCAUGCAGCACCUAUACAGCGGCCCUUGCGGGCACCAGCCUUUCAGCCGACUUCCACUGCACUUCGAGCCCAGGUAAGGUUCUUCGCGUUGCGUCGAAUUAAACCACAUGCUCCACCGCUUGUGCGGGCCCCCGUCAGUUCCUUUGAGUUUCAGCCUUGCGACCGUACUCCCCAGGCGGAACACUUAAUGCGUUAGCUCCGGCACGGGAGGAGUCGACACCUCCCACACCUAGUGCCCAUCGUUUACGGCGUGGACUAC